rnacentral:misc_RNA from 1 species
GCAUCAAGCAUGCCAAAGUACACCUAAACACAGAAUAAAAGCCUUCUAAGGAAAGUAUUCAUUCUCAGCACAACAAAUAUGGGUGUAACAAAGACACUCUCUCUCUGCAUUCUUUUUCUCUUUCUUUUUUACCAACUCCCUCUGCAUUCCAGUCACAAGAAAAGUUGCAUUUCCAUUUCAUCAGAAUUCAGAUUAAUAGGUAUCAUUUCAAUGCUUUGACCUAAUAAGUGUUUGGUUGUUGUGAAGCCCCUUGGCAACUAAGAGGGUAAUUGAGAAUACAUGAUUGUGUUCUGUCUGGUUCUCAGUAGCCCUCUUCUGUUUGAAAAUGUAGGUAUGUCUAAAGCUGUGUAUAAGUCUUAUAGUAGAUCAUAUCAUAUUUGGUAUAACAUCUUUAGUGGAAAAUGCACUUGUCAGUGCACGGAUCUUAGUUUUCAGAUUGUGUUUAGCACUUAGAAAGCAAAUGCCCACUUAACAAGUGCAAGCUUAAAAGUUUUAACUAACAUCCAAUAUUCAAGUGUUGUUCGCUGAAAUAAUUGAUUGCAUAUCAAUCAAUAGAGUCAGAAAGCAACACAGCAAUUGAUUUGAUUAUCAUGAAAAGGAAAGUAAAACAUCAAAAUUUUACAUACAUCAUCAAGAUAAUGUAAAAAUUUGUGUAUAAUGCCAUUAAUUCACUACAAAAAGAUAUAUUUAUAAAUAUGUAAAACUACUUCCAUAAUUUCCUGUGCCAUAAAAAAUAGCUAAAAAACUCAAAGUCCAUUUCAGUUUUUAAACUUCAAACAAGUUCACAGCAACAGUUUAGUCUCAACACAAGCUGAACAUAGGUAGCAGAAAAAUCAGUAAAAUAUGAACAGAACAUUUUGGCAAUGCUCAUUGAUUAUUAGAAGUUUUGAUGAUGCUCAUAAUAAAUUCCAUUUUGGCAAAAAUAAUAACAAAGUAUAGGCAAUCUGCCCCACC